rnacentral:rRNA from 1 species
UACGAAGGGUGCAAGCGUUACUCGGAAUUACUGGGCGUAAAGCGUGCGUAGGUGGUUUGUUAAGUCUGAUGUGAAAGCCCUGGGCUCAACCUGGGAAUUGCAUUGGAUACUGGCAGGCUAGAGUGCGGUAGAGGAUGGCGGAAUUCCCGGUGUAGCAGUGAAAUGCGUAGAUAUCAGGAGGAAUACCGAUGGCGAAGGCAGGUCUCUGGGCUGACACUGACGCUCAUGCACGAAAGCGUGGGGAGCAAACAGG